rnacentral:lncRNA from 1 species
GACAAUUCUUCAGGGAGUUAUUUCUCUCUUUACACGGUUUCUGAGGGGGUCAGGCCUGCUGAGCAUCUCUCUGGCCCCAGAAAACAAUACUGGAUUGACAGGAUGGAUGGACAACAGUGUGUUCCAUCAGCUCCAUCAUCAGAGUGCUGCCAGAAUAGCACUCCUUCAGUGGGAGCUAAGGUCUCCCAUCGAAGGUCUAAAUUACCAAGCAGUUACUCUGAGAUCACCUUUCUAGGAACAGACUAUUCUAAAUGGAGAGGAAAACUGCUGUUAAAGCACUCUUCUAAGAGUUGUUAGUAGAUGCCCCUGCUGUCACCAGUAACAAUGAAAGAAAGAAAACAGCCAGGAAUACAUAUUUCAAAACAUUUCUUUAGGGCUUAAGUAGAGCCUGCUUAGCAGACUGGAGGCAGAGUUGGAUCCCCAGCCUUGGAAAAUAAAAUUAUUUAGCCUUUAUAUAAAAAACAACAAUUUCCUUGGAGACAUUUACAUUAUGAUACACUGCUGUGUUUACAUUAACUGGCAAGUGCCCCACAAUAAAAAAAAAAAAAAUGUUUUUGUUAUGGUCCAAAUCUCAUUGUGAACAGAAUGCUUUUCAAACAUUAAAUACUAGGUAACAAGGGGGGGGGGCAGAGACUAAAUACAAAAUAUCAGCUCUUUUAUAAAUACAUUGAUACAUACAUUCAUUGUAUUUAUCCCCCCACAUCCCCCUUCCCCCAGGCAGGUUUUCUUUGUGUAACAGCCCUAGCUAGCCUGGUUUACAGAGCGAGUUCCAGGACAGCCAGUACUGUUAUACAGAGAAACCCUGUCUCAAAGGGGGAAAAAAAACCCUGAAAGAAUAAGUUGAAAGUACACACUGAGGAGCUGAUGGUAGAAUCCCUGCCUUGCAUGCCUGAGUCCUGAACUUGAUCCCCAAUACCGAACACAAAGUGAAUGGUCACAAUCUAAGUGGGGCACUCUGAGCCUUUACUGGAGGGUGGGGUGCAUCCUGGCUUAUCAAUCCUGGAAAAGAAGUUCCUAAACCAGCUGCCUCUUUCCUUCUAGCAUUUCCGUAGCCCUAUAACUUCAUGGCUGCCUUCCUAGCAAGCGAGAACAGUAUUGUUUCCCUAUCUACUACUGGUAUUCAUAACUUUGAAAUAAAC